AUGGAUAUGGUUCAGUGGUAGAGCAAUUGCCUAACAUGCAAUUACCUAGCAUGCCCUGGGUUUGAUCCCUAGUACCAUA
rfam:Ictidomys tridecemlineatus contig067324, whole genome shotgun sequence.